GAUAAGGUUAAGUGAAUAAGGGCGCACGGUGGAUGCCUUGGCACUAGGAGCCGAUGAAGGACGGGACUAACACCGAUAUGCUUUGGGGAGCUGUAAGUAAGCUAUGAUCCAGAGAUUUCCGAAUGGGGGAACCCAAUAUCUUUUAUAGGAUAUUACUUUUCAGUGAAUACAUAGCUGAUUAGAGGUAGACGCAGAGAACUGAAACAUCUUAGUACCUGCAGGAAGAGAAAGAAAAUUCGAUUCCCUGAGUAGCGGCGAGCGAAACGGGAAGAGCCCAAACCAACAAGCUUGCUUGUUGGGGUUGUAGGACUCCGAUAUGGCAGUCUGUUAGUAUAGUUGAAGGAUUUGGAAAAUUCCGCUAAAGAGGGUGAAAGCCCCGUAGACGAAAUGCUGACAACACCUAGGAGGAUCCUGAGUACGGCGGAACACGAGAAAUUCCGUCGGAAUCCGCGGGGACCAUCCCGCAAGGCUAAAUACUCCCUAGUGACCGAUAGUGAACCAGUACCGUGAGGGAAAGGUGAAAAGCACCCCGGAAGGGGAGUGAAAUAGAUCCUGAAACCGUGUGCCUACAACAAGUCAAAGCUCGUUAAUGAGUGAUGGCGUGCCUUUUGUAGAAUGAACCGGCGAGUUACGAUUGCAUGCGAGG
rnacentral:rRNA from 1 species